GACGAACGCCGGCGGCAUGCCUAAUACAUGCAAGUCGAGCGAACAGAUGAAGUGCUUGCACUUCUGACGUUAGCGGCGAACGGGUGAGUAACACGUAAGGAAUCUACCUAUAAGCGGAGGAUAACAUUCGGAAACGGGUGCUAAUACCGCAUAAUAUCCUCUUCCGCAUGGAAGAAGAUUGAAAGACGGCUCUGCUGUCACUUAUAGAUGACCUUGCGGUGCAUUCGUUAGUUGGUGGGGUAACGGCCUACCAAGACGAUGAUGCAUAGCCGACCUGAGAGGGGGAUCGGCCACGUUGGGACGGAGACACGGCCCAAACUCCUACGGGAGGCAGCAGUAGGGAAUCUUCCGCAAUGGGCGAAAGCCUGACGGAGCAAUGCCGCGUGAGUGAAGAAGGCCUUCGGGUCGUAAAACUCUGUUAUAAGAGAAGAACAAAUUGUAGAGUAACUGCUACAGUCUUGACGGUAUCUUAUCAGAAAGCCACGGCUAACUACGUGCCAGCAGCCGCGGUAA
rnacentral:rRNA from 1 species